GACGUAGGAGGCGAGCGUUGUCCGGAUUCAUUGGGCGUAAAGAGCACGCAGACGGUUUGGCAAGUCGGAUGUGAAAACCCGAAGCUCAACUUCGGGCCUGCAUCCGAAACUGCCCGACUAGAGGUAGGUAGGGGAGAUCGGAAUUCCUGGUGUAGCGGUGAAAUGCGCAGAUAUCAGGAGGAACACCAGUGGCGAAGGCGGCUCACUGGCCCGGUACUGACGCUGAGGUGCGAAAGCGUGGGGAGCAAACAGG
rnacentral:rRNA from 1 species